rnacentral:rRNA from 1 species
CACGUAGGGCGCGAGCGUUGUCCGGAAUUAUUGGGCGUAAAGAGCUCGUAGGCGGCCUGUUGCGUCCGCUGUGAAAGCCCGGGGCUUAACCCCGGGUCGGCAGUGGAUACGGGCAGGCUAGAGGUAGGUAGGGGAGAAUGGAAUUCCCGGUGUAGCGGUGAAAUGCGCAGAUAUCGGGAGGAACACCAAUGGCGAAGGCAAUGUUCUGGCUCGUUUCUGACGCUCAGGUGCGAAAGCCAGGGGAGCGAACGGG